UGGUUUGGCACCUCGAUGUCGGCUCGUCGCAUCCUGGGGCUGGAGUCGGUCCCAAGGGUUGGGCUGUUCGCCCAUUAAAGCGGUACGCGAGCUGGGUUUAGAACGUCGUGAGACAGUUCGGUCCCUAUCCGCUGUGCGCGUAGGAGUCUUGAGAAGGGCUGUCCCUAGUACGAGAGGACCGGGACGGACGAACCUCUGGUGUGCCAGUUGUUCUGCCAAGGGCAUGGCUGGUUGGCUACGUUCGGGAGGGAUAACCGCUGAAAGCAUCUAAGCGGGAAGCCUGCUUCGAGAUGAGGACUCCCACCUCCUAGAGAGGGUAAGGCUCCCAGUAGACGACUGGGUUGAUAGGCCAGAUAUGGAAGCCGGGUAACCGGUGGAGUUGACUGGUACUAAUAGGCCGAGGGCUUGUCCUCAGUUG
rnacentral:rRNA from 1 species